UACGUAGGGUGCAAGCGUUGUCCGGAAUUAUUGGGCGUAAAGGAGCUCGUAGGCGGUUUGUUGCGUCGGCUGUGAAAUCCCGAAGGCUCCAACCUCGGGUCUGCAGUCGAUACGAGCAAACUAGAGUGUUGCAGGGGAGACUGGAAUUCCUGGUGUAGCGGUGAAAUGCGCAGAUAUCAGGAGGAACACCGGUGGCGAAGGCGGGUCUCUGGGCAACACUGACGCUGGAGGAAGCGAAAGCGUGGGGAGCGAACAGG
rnacentral:rRNA from 1 species